UCAGUCGGCUGGACGGCCGCUCCCGCAAGUGCCGAAAGGCCGCGGGAGAGGAAAGUCCGGGCUCCAUCGACAUGCGGUGCCGGAUAACAUCCGGCGGGGGCAACCCCAGGGAAAGUGCCACAGAGAACGAACCGCUCCCUCCUCGGAGGAAGUAAGGGUGAAAAGGUGCGGUAAGAGCGCACCGCGUUUCCGGCAACGGCGACGGCAUGGCAAACCCCACCGGGAGCAAAACCGAAUAGGGACGGCAACGCGGUCAGUUCGCGACAUCGCGAUAACACUGCAGGGCGAUGUCAGGCCCGCUGUCCGGGUAGGUUGCUUGAGGCGAGGUGCAAACCUUGUCCCAGAGGAAUGGCCGUCACGUACCAUUCGCGAGAAUGGUGCCCUACAGAACCCGGCUUACAGGCCGGCUGAUGCU
rnacentral:RNase_P_RNA from 2 species